GUUUUCUUUUUCAGGCCUUAAAGAUGAAGUUCAUGGAAUCUGAGCCAAUUCCUCAGUGUAGACCACAGCUAGAAAGUCAUAAAAUGCUCAAGAGGUUACACAAGAUGCUUUUUCUCUUUUUUCCCACGGAAGCAAGGCAAAACAGGCUCCUAGAGUAGCACUGCACGAUGAGCAGAAGGAAUCAUAUCUCCAACAGUCACCAAAACAGAUUUUCUAUGGCCUAAAAUGUACCUUAGCCCUUCAGGACUGGAAGUACAUGAGUGCCCUGCUGGGAAAGUGGCUGAUCCUGGUGGGCUGUGGGAUAAUAAAUUUGUGACAAUGCAAA